GUCUCUACUAAAAAUACAAAAAAUUAGCCAGGUGUGGUGGCGGGUGCCUGUAGUCCCAGCUACUCCGGAGGUUGAGGCAGGAGAAUGGCAUGAACCUGGGAGGCGGAGCCUGCAGUGAGCCAAGAUCACGCCACUGCACUCCAGCCUGGGCGACAGAGCGAGACUCUGUAUCAAAUAAAAAGAAAAAGCUAUCAGCACUCAGCUUUUUAUAUAGUAGACUAGAGUCUUGUCAGUGAUUAACAAUUCUUUUUCAAAACUUGAGUGUUGCAGUAUUGGCAUCCUCAUGUUUUAAUACAAGCACUGUGACCAUGCUCUUUUAUAUUUGAUUAGUGUUUUUGUCUUCUAUGUAUAACACAGUUAUUUUGAGAAAGACUCCACAGUAGGAAUGUGAGCCUCUGUCUUUUGUAGCACAACAGGCAUUUGCCCUACAGUGCAAGGGACCUGGAGAGGGAUUGAUCUAGAUUAGAGGUUUCUAUGGAUUCGAUUAAGCUUGGGAUGUGGCAUGCAUUAACAUGCUGCUAGUGUCUCAAAAGAUUUUACUUAUCCUCUCUGCCUGUGAAAUUUUCGGUUAGAUGGAAUCCUGCCAUCCCAAUACAGAACUGCAUUUUAUUAUAGAAACAGUAUUGUUCAUAUUAGGUGUAGUGGCAGGGGUGCUCUCUGGUACCACAUUUUGGGUAGCUUUAUGGAUUUAAGUCUGCUUUCAUGAGCUGCUAGCCUUGAAAAUCUUACUUAUUACCUUUAUAGAAAAAUGCAUUGUAAAUUUAAAUACUUAAACAUUUGGAACAUGACCAAUUUAAGGUUUGGAGACUGUGUUUUUACUAGAGUAAAAGGUAAUUUAAAUACCUUGCUUAUGCCUUCUUGUUUAUUAUCUUCAGGUACCAGAUCAGUCUGUUUUUAAGUGAUCUCUGUUGACAUGGGAUUAGAUUCAGAACUUUCUUUGAUUUCAGUGAGAAACAACCAGGGAUGGAACCCUUGAAGAGCAUGGAAUCCUCUGUCCUUCCGGAGGGUUGUUGCAACUGACUUGUCCCCACCCCUAGUAGUUCUAGAGCUAGGUUCCUGAGGCACAUCUGUAUCCUUGAAGAAACACUUUUAUUUUUCUUCUUAGAUUCAAUUCUGAUAUGAAACUAGCAGACUCAUUUUAAUCUACUUUUUUUUUUUUUUUUUUUUUUUUUUUUGUAACAGGGUCUCGCCCUGUCUCCCAGGCUGGAGUGCAGUGGUGCAAUCACUGAAGUCUUGACUUCCAGGCUCAAGUGAUCCUCUUACCUCAGCCUACCGAGUAGCUGGAACUACAGGCUUGUGCCACUAUGCCCAGCUAGUUUUUAAACUUUUUUUUUUUAGAGAGACAGAGGUCUCACUAUGUUGCCCAGGCUGGUCUUGAACUCCUGGGCUCAAGCAAUCCUCCUUCCUAGGCCUCCCAAAAUGCUGGGAAUACAGGCAUGAGCUGCUAUGCCUGGUCUUAAUCUACUUUUGUCUGCAGAGGUUAACUUUGUGUUGCAGACAGUAAGUAGGUCCAGUUAUAGAAGCAAGUACCUUCAAGGGAUGGAGGAUGAGGUGAUAGCAUCCUAGAAAAGAAAAAAUGAGGCCAGGCGAGGUGGCUCACACCUGUAAUCCCAGCACUUUGGGAGGCUGAGGUGGGCGGAUCACCUGAGAUCAGGAGUUUGAGACCAGCCUGGCCAACAUGGUGAGACCCCAUUUCUACCAAAAAAUACAAAAAUUAGCCAGGUGUGCUGGGCGCAGUUGCUCAUACCUGUAAUCCCAGCACUUUGGGAGGCCGAGGCAGGCGGAUCACAAGGUCAGGAGAUCGAGACCAUCCUGGCUAACACAGUGAAACCCUGUCUCUACUAAAAAUACAAAAAAUUAGCUGGGUGUGGUGGCACACGCCUGUAGUCCCAGCUACUCGGGAGGCUGAGGCAGGAGAAUUGCUUGAACCCGGGAGGCGGAUGUUGCAGUGAGCCGAGAUCGCACCACUGCACUCCAGCCUGGGCCACAGAGCGAGACUCCGUCUCAAAAAAAAAAGAAAAAAAAUUAGCCGGGUGUGGUGGCAUGUGGCCUGUAGUCCCAGCUACUGGGGAGGUUAAGGCUGUAGGAUCGCUUGAAUCUGGGAGGUGGAGGUUGCAAUGAGCCGAGAUCAUGCCACUGUAUUCCAUCCUGGGCGACAGAGUGAGACCAUGUCUCAAGAAAAAAAAAAAAUAAAGAGACACAGAUGUCCAGAGGUGUUGGGGGAGAGUGGAGAGACUCGAUAACAGGUUAGAUUGUCUUUAGAGGAAUUGACAUUUUGACUACAGUACUCAUUCCUACUCUUGACUAUUUUCAGGGGUUCCAAGAGAAAAAUUUAAAUAGGACAGAGCUAAAAACACCGACUUUCACUCACUAAAAUGUUGUCAUAAAUUUAUGUAUCUUGAUCUUGGAAAACAUCAGUAUCUAUGCCUCAUUUUACCUUUUAAGAUUUCAGAUUUAUCACCCGAAGCAUUUUCUCUAUUGCCUUCCCCUUAUAUCAAGAUAUCCUGUUGGUUUAUUGGGGUUAUCCUAAUCUUUAUGUCAGAUGAAACUCAUCCUGGUUGUAAUUAUUUUUAGGUUG
rnacentral:lncRNA from 10 species